GCUGCCUUUCGCAGGUCGGAGUGCGAAUUGCACACUUUGGUCACAAGGAAAAUGGGAAGGAAUCUUAUAGCUUGGAUGGAAGGCUGGAGGAGGGAACAAAGGGAAGGGUUCCUGAAACAUCAAUGACCUGAUGCAUGGCCUUUACAGCAGUGCUUGGCCACCCACUCAGUUACCAGUGACAUUCUGCCACAUUCCAGGAAAAGGAGACAGCAGAACCACCCUCCUUAAAUCCAUAGUCAUUAACCACAUUUCCAUCCACAGUUUUUAAGCAAGUCAUACUUUAUUAAAAAGAGUGAAGACGCCGCCUUUAUGUGCAAAUAUUGAUAUAAUAACCAUCAUAUCGAAGUCACGCAAUGAUAUG